GGGCCUGUCGCUCAAGGGUUAGAGCCGGCCGCUCCUACCGGUCUGGUUGGGGGUUCAAGUCCCUCCAGGCCCACCA
rnacentral:tRNA from 1 species